ACACUGACGUCGCGACGCAUAUCAAUAAGCGGAGGAAAAGAAACUAACAUAGGAUUCCCUCAGUAACGGCGAGUGGAGCGGGAAGAGCUCAAAUUUGAAAUCUUCAAGGUUCUACCUUGACGAAUUGUAGUUUAUAGAAGUGUUUUCUGUUAGUAGAGUUUGGUAAAAGUUCCUUUGGAAUAGGACAUCAUAGAGGGUGAGAAUCCCGUAUUUGACCUUUACUUUCAACUUUGUGAUACACUUUCAAAGAGUCGGAUUGUUUGGGAAUGCAGUCCAAAAUGGGUGGUAAAUUUCAUCUAAAGCUAAAUAUUGGCGAGAGACCGAUAGCGAACAAGUACCGUGAGGGAAAGAUGAAAAGAACUUUGAAAAGAGAGUUAAACAGUACGUGAAAUUGUCUAAAGGGAAGCGUUUGACACCAGUGUUGUUUUUCCGAAAAUCAAUUACGAAUGUUUUGUUUUUGAGGAGUUAUGACUUCAUCGGCUUGCUCCUUUCUUUAUGAAACUUUCUUAAUGCACUUUUCGGUUAACAAGUCAACAUCAAUUUCUUUUGUUGUAAAAGGGUAUGAGGAAGGUGGCUUUCUUUUCGGAGAAAGUGUUUAUAGCCUUGUACCUCUGCAAUCGGAGAGAUUGAGGUCUGCAGCGUAGAUCCUUCGGGGUUAGAUACAUUUGUGCUAAGUUAUAGCUUUUCAUAGACAACUUGUUGACUAUGUUUAGUCUUGUAGCUUACUCGCUUAUGCUAUUUUACCUACGCUUAGGAUGUUGAACUCUAUCACACACAG
rnacentral:rRNA from 1 species